ACCAUGGGAAUGAGAAUAUAAAAAAAUGGGAAGAAAGAGACAAAGGUGCGCUGGCAGCCUUGCUCUGGCUGUGGAUUAAAGUGGAAGGACACGUGGGAGCCUUAUGAACUUUUUCAUUCAGUUGAAUAAAUUGAAGUGUUU